rnacentral:rRNA from 1 species
UACGUAGGGGGCAAGCGUUGUCCGGAGUUACUGGGCGUAAAGCGCACGCAGGCGGUCGAUUAAGGUUGGAGUGACAGUUGGUGGCUUAACUGCCAAAGUGCUUCGAAAACUGAUCGACUUGAGGGCUUCAGAGGGACACGGAAUUCCGGGUGGAGUGGUGAAAUGCGUAGAGAUCCGGAGGAACACCGAAGGCGAAGGCAGUGUCCUGGGGAGUCCCUGACGCUCAGGUGCGAAAGCCAGGGGAGAGAACGGG